rnacentral:lncRNA from 1 species
UUUUUUUUUUUGGGGUGUGUGUGUGUGUGUGUGUGUGUGUGUGUGUGUGUGUAAAAACCCCACCCGAACCGCAAACGUGACCCGGCCGUAUCUUCCGAUUCCGGCCACCCCCCCGGUCAAGAUUGGUACCAAUCUAAAGCUUAGAAGCCGGUCGUCGUUUUCCUGCCAUCCUCUCUGCCGAAAACUAACCGUGACGCCGACGACCAAAGCUUGAAAACCCGCGACUGUUUCGCUUUGUUCCGCCGAGAUUUUCGCCGGUUUUGGGUGACACCACCGGUUGGAUUUUGUUCCCCACGACUCCCUCUUCAAUUUCCGACCAUCCACUGCCGCCGGGGACAUCGUUUUGCCGUUGAUCGGCCGUUGGAGAACUUACGGGUUUGGGAGCUCAAUCUGGAGCCAUCGCCGCGCGUGGCAGGUCACCACCGCCACCGUUGGACUCAGUGUGGCCAGAAAUUUUAGACUUGAGCUUCCCGGCCAGCGUUGACCAAAUUCCGGUGAAUGUUGACCGGCAGGGGCAUUUUGGUAAUUUCACACUAUGAGGGCAAUUUUGUAAUUUCUGAACCUAUGGAUAUGUUAGUAAUUCCUAGAAUUGAGGAUUGGGUUUAAUUAUGAUUCCGAGGAUAAUUCGGUGAUUUACGAUUUCAGAGUAUUUUAAUGAUUUACGAACUCGAGGGUAUUUUAGUAAUUAUGUCAUUUCCUUGAUUUAGGAGGAUCCGUAAACGAGAACCGGUCCGCGGACAUGGACGAUAACCAAACUUGAACACCGUCACUGUGAGUGGAAUAUACAAAACUUAUUUUCAUAGUUAAUUAUGAUAGUAAUGCAUGUUUGCGAAAUAAGUGUUUUAAAUAUUCUGAUUUAAUGAUUUUCUCAAAAUUGAUUUUGUUCAUGCAUUAGUAUUUUCUUAAAAUGCUUUAUUAAUGAUUUUGCGAAUCGACUUUGAAUAAGCAUGUUAGUAUUUUAAAGAUAAGAAAAGUGGAUUCAAAUGUGAUAUGAUUUAAAGUAUGGUUAAAAGGUAUGUGAAUAUGAGUAUAAUGAUUGUUUUUUAAAUCAUUAGACGGUAUUCUUUCCCUCCAAAUACAGUGAUACAGAUGAGAUAAGAUAGAGGCCUUUGGGGCCCGUCUGAACACACAUAGAGGUUUUGGGCCAAGUGUUUGGGCGUUUCUGCCUUUUGGAGGCAUAUGCAUGCAGUAUGAUGAUUACAGAGAUACAAAUAUGAGAUACAGGCAUAUAUUGAGAUACAGAUGAUACAGAUGAGUUACAGGCCUUUGGGGCCUGUCUUAACACAUAUAGAGGCUUUGGGCCGUGUGCUUGGGCCCUUUUGGGACUAGAUUAUGCAUGCACAAAUAUGAUGAGAUAUGAGAUGGUAUUUUCCUGUCUAUCCGUGUAGCUCCGGGGCGUGACGGUACCCAGAUAGUACGUCAUUGCCCGUCCGUUGAGGUCCGGAUAUGACGAGAUUAUUCCUCUGGGUACUUGUUUGGUGAUGAUUUUCAGAUUUGUGUAUUCUAUAUGAUAUUGUGAUAUGAUUUCCAUGGUUAGUAAUCUGAUUUAAAGGUUAAAUGAUUUAUUACUGGUUUCUCGUAUAUGGAUUGAUGAAAUCGUGUUUGGAAAUGACAUGAUUAUUUCUUUUAAAGUAAGAAUUAAAUUUUCAAAAACUACUAUCCACUCACUGAGUUUUAAACUCACCCUGUUUUUAUUAUAUUUUCCUCCCCUCACCAUGAGGUUGCCCCCCCCCUCACCAGGAGGUUGCAGGUACACCAAACCGACCCAGCUACUGUAAAUAUAUUUUGAGCCUUGGCCACGUGAUGAUGUUAGAAGAUAUAGAUGUUUUUGGUAGGAUAUCUUGGUUAUCUCAUCAUGUUGGGAUUGUAUAAUUUUGUUAUAUUAUUCUUUUGGGAUUAAGAAUAAACUGAAAUAUUAAUAUUAGUUAUAAUAUUAUCUUUUGAGACUCUGAAAAUAUAAAACUCAGCAUUUUGGUUGAGGAUGUUGAUCGUUGGAGUUUGUUAUAUAUUAAAUUAUAUUGGGAGUGUUAUAUUCAUAUUUGUAUAUUGAGAGUGUUAUAUUUAUAAAAGAGACUUUACCGAAUUUUCGACAUAAUCUUUACUAAUAGAAUUAUUAUCGAGUCGGUUUUGAUGAGACUAGAUUAACUCGUCUGGGGGAAAUUUAGGGCAGGUCGUUUCAAUUUUGGUUUCUGAAUUUCUUGAAAGGGGUUGGAGUUAGAGAAUAAACGGGAUAAAAAGGCGUUGCCGAUGCCUUUUAAAAUUCGUUUGUUGCCAUUAGAGGAAUAUUAUCAUGCAACACAUUCUAUAGAGAUAUAAACGCUUACUAAUUUAUACGCAUUGAUCUUUAAAAAGAGAGUAAACAUUUCUUAUUUUCUCUUUUUUAUUUGUCCUUGACCUUUCAGAGCUUGUUUACACAAUCAAGAUCACAGAAAAAUGACGUGUAAGGUUUCGAAGUGUUAGUAUUGGAAGUGAUCAAGGGAAAGCAUCCAAGAGAUCGGAUGUUCUUUCCGCAGUUUCAGCUUCGUCUUCCAAUGCCAUUUGAUGAAAUAUUGGAUCCUGGGCUUCCACCUGAUCCAUUAUUCGAUGUUCGGAGGAAGUUAGUAUCAAUCACGAAGGUUGCCUUCUCUUACUUAAAUGGGAAUCUAGAAUCCAGACUAAUCAUUAUUAUUGUUCGAGUUUCAAAUAUUUGCCUUCAUUUCCCAUUGUUUGUUACUAUAAAUAAACACGUGUGAUAUACGUGGCUACUCAACUUGCUACGUGGCCUUGAAUUAGUCUUUGUUGAAUAAGUCUUGUUUGUUAGUUUUGGUUAUUAAGUCUAGAUUCCAUUUGAAUGAGUCUUCCUAUUUACAAGAAACUGAAUUUGUAAUAUUUCUAUUUAUUUGAAGUUCAGUGAAUAAUAGAAGGGGUUUUUACCAACUUCAC